GCCGGGCGCGGUGGCUCACGCCUGUAAUCCCAGCACUUUGGGAGACCGAGACGGGCGGAUCACGAGGUCAGGAGAUCGAGACCAUCCUGGCUAACACGGUGAAACCCCGUCUCUACUUAGUAGAGACGGGGUUUCACCGUGUUAGCCAGGAUGGUCUCGAUCUCCUGACCUCGUGAUCCGCCCGUCUCGG
rnacentral:SRP_RNA from 1 species